GCCCGGAUGGUCUAGUGGUAUGAUUCACGCUUAGGGUAACUCCAAUGUGGUUAUUUGCUGUGUGAGGUCUUGGGUUCAAUUCCCAAUUCGGGCC